CCUACGGGUGGCUGCAGCAAGGAAUCUUCCGCAAUGGGCGCAAGCCUGACGGAGCAACGCCGCGUGCGGGAGGACGCCCUUCGGGGUGUAAACCGCUUUUCCGGGGGAAGAAGGCUGGGUCCGUGAGGAUGCAGCUUGACGGUACCCCGGGAAGAAGGCCCGGCUAACUACGUGCCAGCAGCCGCGGUAAGACGUAGGGGCCGAGCGUUGUCCGGAGUUACUGGGCGUAAAGGGCCCGCAGGCGGCGCGAUGCGCCCGGCGUGAAAGCCCCCGGC
rnacentral:rRNA from 1 species